UUAGUGACCCAAUCAGCUGAGGAUUGUGGUGAAUGAGGCCAUCUAAGGGCUGAACUUCACUUAUGUAAGGUCUUGGAAGAUGUGGCAUCAUAUUCUCAGAUGUUUGUAAUUUAAGCAGCAGGCAGAACAACCGCACAGUUGUAGAUGCUCAGGGGAAAGGAUACCCAGAGCCUCGUAAAUCAUGAAAGCAAGUGUAGAGCGACUGAAAACAUUUGAAAGAGAAAGGAAUGUAUAUGAUGUCAUGAGGAGGUCCUUUCAUAGCAUAGCAGACCAAGAAAAUUGGGGAAGCAAG